AGAGUUUGAUUCUGGCUCAGGAUGAACGCUGGCGGCAUGCCUAAUACAUGCAAGUCGAACGAGGAUCCUUCGGGAUCCUAGUGGCGAACGGGUGAGUAACACGUAGGGAACCUGCCCGCGCACCGGGAAUACGCUCUGGAAACGGAGAACAAAUCCCGAUGUACAGGAAGGAGGCAUCUUCUUUCUGUGAAGCAUCCUGUAAGGGAUGGGGCGCGGAUGGACCUGCGGUGCAUUAGUUAGUUGGCGAGGGUAAAGGCCCACCAAGACGAUGAUGCAUAGCCGGCCUGAGAGGGCGGACGGCCACAUUGGGACUGAGACACGGCCCAGACUCCUGCGGGAGGCAGCAGUAGGGAAUUUUCGUCAAUGGGCGCAAGCCUGAACGAGCGAUGCCGCGUGAGUGAAGAAGGCCUUCGGGUCGUAAAGCUCUGUUGCGGGGGAAAAAAGGCAACUACAGGAAAUGGUAGAUGACAGAUGGUGCCCCGCCAGAAAGUCACGGCUAACUACGUGCCAGCAGCCGCGGUAAUACGUAGGUGGCGAGCGUUAUCCGGAAUGAUUGGGCGUAAAGGGUGCGCAGGCGGUCCUGCAAGUCUGGAGUGAAACGUAUGAGCUCAACUCAUGCAUGGCUCUGGAAACUGGAGGACUGGAGAGCAGGAGAGGGCGGUGGAACUCCAUGUGUAGCGGUAAAAUGC
rnacentral:rRNA from 1 species